UGGAGGAGGGAGCACACGGCUGUCUGGGCUCUGCUUUUCAGACAGUUGGGAGCAUUUUGGGGAGCAUAUAGCACCUGUUUACAUAGAACUCGCAGAGGAAUCCACAUCUUCACUGUCAUCUGCAAUUAUAUGUGAAACAUCAACAGUCUUCUGUGGCUCAACCAUCCCAGCACAGGAGAGAGGGACCUUACCUACCGUAUCCUCAGGGUUAGGAAAGAGAAGGACGAAAUUAUACCAAGCUCUGACAAUCAGCCUUUCUUUAGGAGCCGAUAUGGAUCUUUAUGGCUACCUCCGCCGACUGCUGGUCCAGUCUGGAGCCACAGACCAGGGGAACGAG